UACGUAGGGUGCAAGCGUUAAUCGGAAUUACUGGGCGUAAAGCGUGCGCAGGCGGUUUUGUAAGUCUGUCGUGAAAUCCCCGGGCUCAACCUGGGAAUUGCGAUGGAGACUGCAAGGCUAGAAUCUGGCAGAGGGGGGUAGAAUUCUACGUGUAGCAGUGAAAUGCGUAGAGAUGUGGAGGAACACCGAUGGCGAAGGCAGCCCCCUGGGUCAAGAUUGACGCUCAUGCACGAAAGCGUGGGGAGCAAACAGG
rnacentral:rRNA from 1 species